rnacentral:misc_RNA from 1 species
AGUCACUCGGAAAGGAGUGUUCCGUUGGAUCUACAUAUUUUAAAAAAUUGCUUGACUAUCGGUAGCUACUGUAAGACCUAUAUCAUUAGAAAUUCCGUGAAUUCCGUAACUCGGAAAUUUUUCCAUAAGCACUGGUCUUCCGUCUUGGAUUCGACGGCAGUCCGGCUUCGGCGACAGAAGCGGCGACAUCGGGAGCUACAUCAAAAUAAACAACGCAGGUUCCUCAGAGCGACGAUGGAGAAAGAGAG